rnacentral:tRNA from 1 species
GCCGCUGUGGCUCAGGGGUAGAGCGAUUCACUCGUAAUGAAUAGGUCGAGGGUCCGAUUCCCUCCAGCGGCUCCA